AGUUGUUUGGGAUUGCAGCUCAAAAUGGGAGGUAUAUUUCUCCUAAGGCUAAAUAAAGGCGAGAGACCGAUAGCGAACAAGUACCGUGAGGGAAAGAUGAAAAGAACUUUGAAAAGAGAGUUAAACAGUACGUGAAAUUGUUGAAAGGGAAACGAUUAAAGUCAGUCGUACCGACGGGGAAUCAACUUCUCGAGCGUGGUUUAGUGGGUUCAAAGUGCCUUUGUUCUCGCGAUAUCCGCGUUCUUUUGGUGCACUUUCUCGUAUUGUAGGUUAGCAUCGGUUUUGAUCGUCAUAAAAUGAUUGGAGGAAUGUGGCUUCGACUUCGGUUGAAGUGUUAUAGACUCUGGUAGAUGUGAUGGUUGAGACCGAGGAUUGCAACGGAUGCCCUUAAGGGCUAUCCGCCUGGCCUCUGAUUUGUUGCUUUGGCUUCGAAAGCUUGCUUACGAGGUUAAAGUUUGCGGUCAAUAGGUUAGAACGGAUUAAAUUCGUUAAGGAUGUUGACGUA
rnacentral:rRNA from 1 species